AUUUAAUUGUUUUUCUACUAUAAUUUUUACCCCUGCAAUUUCUUUGUUGUUGCUUAAUGUUUGUUGUGUUGAAGUUGUUGCAAUUGUUUGAUCUUGGUGCUCUAUUUUGUUGCAAUUUAUUGUAAUGAUUAUAUCGUCAUGUUCAUAUUUGCUUUUUUUUUAAUUUUCUUAUUUCUUUUUUCCGCACUCAACAUGUUCGAUGAAAUGCUUCAACUAGAUUUCUUUGAAUUCUCUCUUUAUUAUUUCUUCUCUUGAUUUUUUUGAUAUUUUUGUGCCUUAAUGACAUCAUGAAUUGGUUAGUGCUCUUCUUGAAUUAUGCAAAUUGCUACGCUAGAAAUGGAAAAGCUAAUUAGCUGAACUUUAAUCUUGGAUUUCAUCUCUCUAUCUUAUGUCCAUCCUUGUAAAACCUGGUAGUUUUGUUUUGGUGCACCUAUAAACUUGAUGUGAGCUUGAUGACUAAUUUAUAGAAAAAGCUAAAAGCAAAAGACCACCAUCCCUACUAGUAUUAAAAAACCAUCUCUGACUAACUUUCUUGUGUUCAUAUUGACUUAGGUGUCUAACUUCUAUAUUAUAGGAAAUAAAUUAAUGUGGCAUAUGUGUCAUGAGACAGAAAUGGAUUUACUAAUAUAUAAAUGGGAUCUCCAAUUCUCCAUUGCAAUGAUUGUUACUUAAGAUAUUAUUUAAUUUUAUAGCACAUACCUUAUUGCAUUAAUUCUUGCCAAGAUAUUUGUCGAAGAAAGAAAUCAGUCUAUGUUUUGUGAAUUAAACCGCUUUAAUUUGUUCUGUUAUAAAUUUUUAAAUUUAUAAAUAGGAGCUGAGGGUGUGCAAGUUUAUUUAAUUUAAUUAGUUUCUACUUUCUAGGGUCAAACAUAUACUUGAAACUCUUAUAAUAUAUAUGUUGGUUACUGCCAAGUGCCAAAUGUAUCUACUCAAUUGUUAAAGAGUAAAGACAGAGCACAUGGAAGAAAAAGCAGGGGAGAAGGUGUAAUGUUUAUUAGAGUAGUACCAAAUUUAUAUUUUUCUCUAUUCUUGUCUUUUGUCUUGGGUUAGAUGUUCAAUCACAAAAGUGGCAUAUGCAGAGCCUGGCCCUCUCUCUUGAGUAAAUUUGUGAUUAUGACUAAUCUGAAUUGCUUUGAAGUUUGAAGAGGUGCUUUGAAGCUUGUUCUUCAGUUGAUGGAUGUUAAAGGCCUCACAAUUUCACACGUCAAGAGCCAUCUUUAGAUGUACAGAAGCAUGAGGGGUGACUUGGGAAGACAAGUAUGAAUUCAACGCCGAAAAGGGGGAGGAUAACAAGGAAGAGUUAUACAAUUUUGUCCUAGCUUGCCACCAUGCAUAAGUGGAUCGAUCAUUUUGGAGGGUCGACUACCCAUGCCAUCUUUUGACAAGGCACUGCAUAUUUUACUAUUUUUUACUUUAAUUUUACCAAUCCACAAUGAAUUCAGUACUUUGCAUAAAUUAAUUAAUCGAAAUCUGUCAAUAAUUCAUCAAGAUUGAAUGUCCAUUAAUAUUUGUGUGAUAGAUCUUCAUAAGGCUUUUCAUGCUUAAUUCUUUUAAAGGCUCAAUAAUUGCCACUACAUAUAGAUAGCGGCUUCACUUUUGGUACCUGAACUUGGGAAGCUUGAGCAUUUACAAUAUCUUUUUGCUGUUCUUUCUAAAGUGACUUUAUUUUUUUUCAGUUGAUUUUAAUUUAAUGUAUUUAAUUUACUUGCAUUCUCUUCUUUCUUGGUUUCUUUGUACUGGUGUUUAUGAAUGAAAUUCAUUUUUUGUUGAAGUCCUGUUUAAUACUAAACAUUCUUGGGUAACAUCUUUUAGGAUAAAGUUUAGGAACAUAUGCAUCAAUUCAUGUAAUAACGAAUUAUACUUUAGCUACAUCUGAUGGAGGAGAAGGAGCGGCAGAAAGCCGAAGCAAAGGCUAAGGAGGUUGAGGCAGCUGAGGCUGCAAAAAGAAGUGCUAGAGCUGCAGUUGCUUCAUUGCUUCCUUCCAAGUUGUUUGGGAAUAAGGAUGCUGAUUCAGAGGCUAAAUGAUACAAAUGCUUCUGAGCCAGAGUUGGUAGAGAGAAUAACUGAAACUGAGGGUUCAGUUAAUGGAGAGACUAAAAAAGAGUGCUGCAGCUACAAGAUUAUGGCUCUUGGAUUGUGACUUGUUUUAUGACUAGAAAUGAGAGUAAUGUUUAUCUGGAAAUUAUACUGAACCUUCAUAAAUGAGAGUAAUGUUUCCUCCCCUACUGAUGAUCUAUUCGCUUUUCUGUGGGGUAGGAGUCUCAAUUGAAAUCAGGGGGUAGGCAGGAUUCUUGUGAAGGUUUGGCAUAAAUUACUCCUUGCUGUUGCCUGAUUUAUCUUAUGUCCAUUCUUGUAAAACUUGGUAGUUUUGUUUGGUGCACCUAUAAACUUGAUGUGAGCUUAAUGAUUAAUUUAAUGUUAAUUCAUAAUUCUACAGUUCUUUAUUACUUUUCCUUUGUUAAUUUUUCUAUGUAAAAUAUUAAUAAUAGAGCAGAUAUAAUAACUCUUAUUAUUUCUUACUGUUACAACUCUUAAACUGUAUACAUACCCAAGCAUAGUUUAGUUGUUGAUGAAGCCCUCAAAUAUUUUAAUCUUUUGCUUAUAACUACUACUUCUUGCUCUUGGAUUAUUUUCAUAGUUUAUUCUUGUGUUUUCAAGCCCGGAUUUGAAGUGACUGAAGAUUGAUCAUUCACCAUAAGGCUUUUGGACUGAACCGGAAUAAUGUUGUCAACUGCAGAAGAAGCUAUUGAACUUACAACAGAGAGGGACUGGAUACCAUUGAAGCAAUUGAUUGUGUUUUAGGAUCAUCUUGGAGUUUCCUUUUGGGAACUUGAUUCCAAGUAUACUGUGUUGGUAUGGUGCAAUCAAAUACUUCAAUGUUUCCUUCUGAAUUGAGAGGUGAAAAGAUAUUUGGAGCCAAAUUGUCUGAAGGUGUUUUCGUUGGCUCAUUUCUCUCCAUGUCAUCAAUAGCAGUGAGGACAAGAGUUGCUUGUGAAGUAAUUGUUGAAGUUAGAUACUAUUGAGGUUGAAGGUGAAGUGAAGUUGCGGAGAAAAGUUGAGGAUUAAGUUACAAGUACAAUUGUUAGCUUUAUAUGUUUGGAUUAAGUUAGGAUUUUUUGAAUUUACAUUUUAUGGUCAACUUUUGAAAUAUAUUGUUUCUAUUUUUGUAAAACUUGUGAGAUUGAGUUUAAAUUUGUUGAAAUAUAAUGCCAUUUAUUA